GCCGGGGUGGCGCAAUUGGUAUACGCACGCGGACUUAAAAUCUGCGGCCCUUCGGGGCAGUGUGGGUUCGACUCCCACCCCCGGCA
rnacentral:tRNA from 1 species